UGUAAGUCCAAUGGUGUUUUCUCCUAUUGCAUGGAUCAGCUUUUCUAAUGCUGGGACAAAAUGUCUGACAUCUACAACUCAAAAGAGGGAAGAUUUAUUUUGGCUUGUAGUUUCAGAGGAUUCGGUCCACAGUAGGCUGGCUCCAAGGUGAGAGGUCACAUACUUGCCCACUGAUGGACUUUGGUGAGGGACGUCUGCCUUGAAGCCCAGCCCCUAUUAUGAUGCCAAAACUCAAGGGAAGAGGACAUCAUCUCUUUCCAAUUAAUACAUUUUCUGCAGGCAUCUGAAUAAAAUAGCCAAGAUUUCCCCUUCAAAGCUCUCUGUCUUAAGUUUAAAGAAGUGAGAGCCCAUAAAAGAUGGUCCUAAUUAAGCUUAAAAUUUUUGGCAAGUGUUGGAUUACUUAAAGGCCUGACAUAAACAUCUUGGAAAUUAAGAUGUUUCUCUAUUACAACAAUCUCCUCUUGACAUCUGCACCACAGCCAGGGCUGCUCAGGUGUCCUGAGAAAUGUACUCACUCCACAGGCUGGUCAUCUUUUGAAGGUGCUGAAUCAAGUGAAUGAGAGACCACAAGUCUUUUGGUCUUCAUGAAGAUAAAACCAGGGGCCAGCUUGCUCUGGUUCUGUGAAUAAAUUGGUGCCACUGACCAGAGACCUUACAAAAGAGUCAGUGCACACUUGGAUGCCAGACAGCACCAUAACCCAGAGAACCCAAGGCCAAACUGCUUUAGCUCAGCAUGGAGAAUAUGCAUCUCAGAUGUAUUUUCAAGGUGUGUCGGAGAAAGGCCUCUGUUGUCUCACUGCAUGGAGCAAAUCUCUGGCCCACAUGGACUGUCUCUCCUUCUCAGACUACAGAAUCUCCACUUAGGAACAUGAAUUUUGGACAAGUUCUUCAGCUUCUGCCAACAGCUAAAGACACUCGCAUGAAGCAGGACUACUCAGUGGUGUCUCUAUGGGGCAGGACCAUGGGGAAUUUGUCAGGAAAUGCAAAUCAGCAAUGUUUAGUUUAAAAUUGACUUUAAAACUUUGUGAGCAAUUAGACAUUAUGUAAAGAGUAAUACAUGUGGAUUUUUGCCAACCACUUGCAGUAGCUUUCCAGUAAUGGCAAAACAAUCCUUUCUCUAAUUCACAUCAACUUAAAAAGAUGAUAAGUUUUUAAAUUUUGAGACAAUUUUUAUGUUGUUUUUACUGUGGAAUCACUUCUUAAUUUAAUUACACACAAAAAAGAGAAUUUCUUUUCUAUUACAAAGAAAGAACUACAUCUUUUUAGUGUGUAAAUAAUUUCAUAGCAAGUUGCUCAAAGUGUCUAAAUACCAAUAGUGAUAAGAGACAGACACAAUCUUAUCAUUUUAUUGUUGAAAAAAUUCAAACUAUGUGAAUUUAUAUCUUUUGUACUUUGAAAUCUAACAUUCUGAAAAAAACCCAACUGGUUUAGUUUUGGUAGUGUGAGCUGAAUUCUAAAGUAGAAGAGUCAAUCCCACGGUGCGGUUUUCCAUGCAUAAAUGGGACACAGGAGCUUCUUCAGAAUUCACACCUUAGCUGCUGAGAAGGCUGCAGAAGCAGGAAGGCCAUCUCACCUUGGUGUGAACCUGGCUGGGAAAGUCAUCAUGGAUCCUCUCCCCCCAGCAACAGGUGUGCUGCCCUACACCAGGGGGAAGAAGUGCCAUGCAGCAUGGUAAGGAGAAGCUGAACAAAAAGGCCCUGCUAAGUCUCCCCCACCUUUAGUUCACUAGCUUUUAGUCCACCAAACAUACCUCUGCACGUCGGUCCACAAACACAUGGAUUUCUCUGUUCCUGGGUGUCUUUAUUUCCUUAUAAAGACUUUCAUAGCAUGUAAACUUCUAUUGCUCAUCUUUUUUUUUUUUGUCUUUGGGGCCUCAGCCAUGAAUCUUGCAAACGGUGAGAAAAAGAGGUAAUUUUCUUUCUCCUAAAACCUCCUUUCGUGGUUUUUUUCAAAGCAGAGUUAGAAGCUGAAGAAAAAAUUCAGCCUCUGGGUAAAAGGGCUCUGCUUGCAGCUGUUGCUGGUCCUGGGUGCUGCGGCAACACACAUGGAAUGGGGUGGGGAACACCAGCACAGGCCCAGGGCUGUAGCAGUAGGGGUACCAUGCGGGCAAAUUUGUAUCACAUUAUUAUCAACAGAAUCCAGGGUUCUUCGACUAUAGUUAAAAAUGCCACUGCACACUUACUUUUCUGUUCACUUAUUCUUCCUCAAGUAUUUACCCUAGAGUUCACAUGGCAAGCCAUUUGUGAGGUUCCAGUGAGCCAACAUGUCUACGCCUCUGGGAACAUGGGCCCUUCUGGGAAGAAGAAUGACAGCCUUCAAGCAGACGGCCCGUGGAAACGGUCAGACCUUAUUGGGAAAAAGUCUCAUGCUGGGCUGUCCAUGUGCGCCUUAGAUCCAGUGACAGGUAUCUUAUAAGAGAUUCACAGAAUGGAGAUGUGAGGAGAGACAACGGCUAUGUGACAGUGGAGCCAGACACUAUCACACACCCCAGGCGGAAGAAUGCCCGUCACCCUCAGAGGCCGGGAGAGGCAACAAAGGACCCUGCGCUGCGGGAUGUGGAGCGGAGGGCUUUGCUGACCCCUUGAUUUCAGACUUCUGUUUUUUUUUUUUUUUAUAUAUUUCCAGUUUUAAUUGGAAAAACAAAAAUCUUGAAACAUGUACAUACAUUUAGGAGGCAAUGAAAGAAAAAGGGGAUGAUUGCCAAUAUCCAUCAGCAAGUAUUUCUGGUUCUAUAAUUGAGAUUUUUCUAGUCAAAUUCCAACUUUCCAAGUUUAUUUUAAAUUUCUUUUCUGUACAUUUACCUGUUUGAACAAGAUCAACAUUAAAUAAGUAAAAAAAAAUAUGGUCUAGAAAAUUCUUUAUAUUUAUUCCUGGCAGAAACAUCUCAGCUCUAAAACUGAUAUGCCAAUAUAAUGAAAGGC
rnacentral:lncRNA from 1 species